rnacentral:rRNA from 1 species
AUGGCAGACUACUCGCGUGUUAGGGUCCUCAGUCGGAGCCUCGUCAAGGCGGCUGCCACCGUCACGCCGCGCAUCCUCGCCGAGUCGCCGUGUCCAACCUCGACCUGCUCCCUCGGCCCAUACCGUCCUUGCUCUUCUGCGCCUACCGCGAGCCCUCCACCGUCUGCUUCCGCGAUGUCGUCGCCAUCUUCAAGGCCAGGCUACCGUCCCUGCUCGAGCACUUCUUCCCCCUCGCCGGUCGCCUCGUGUCCAGCCCGCGCUCCGGGGUUCCGGAGCUGCAGUGCGACAACCAGGGCGCGGAGCUUGUCGUCGGUGAAGCCGGCGUGGAACUGGCGAGCCUGGACUACGGCGCGCUAG